UUCAAUGAAAUCGUAGAUUUUUUUUGAAGAGAGUUUCUCUUUUGGUUAUCAACGGAUAUAAUGAAUGAUUGACUGGUGGAAGGAAGCACAUACAAUAUUUAAAAGCAAUUACAAUGAAAACAUAUAUAUACAUGUAUAUAUACAUAUAUGAAAAUUUAUAGUACAAAUCUAUAAUGAAAAAAUAACCCCAAAAGAAUUACUUUAAUUAAAACUCUCAAGUGGAUCAAAGUAAAUCUGUUGAAAUCAAUUAAGCAUAUCACUUGAGAUAUGUAUACCUGAUGAUUUUACAGGAUUUAUUUAAGCGAUCUUUUAUGGGAUCAUUACUUAAUUUGUGUUAAUUAACUAAUUACCAUUAGUUUAAUUUGAUCUUGAUAAAAACUUUCUGAAAAAUAAAUUUAAAAUAGAUAUACGUAUA